GUGUCAGCAGCCGCGGUAAUACGUAGGCAGCGAGCGUUGUUCGGAGUUACUGGGCGUAAAGGGUGCGUAGGCGGUCCCUUAAGUUUGGUGUGAAAUCUCCCGGCUCAACUGGGAGGGUGCGCCGGAUACUGAGGGACUUGGAGUGCGGGAGAGGAAAGUGGAAUUCCUGGUGUAGCGGUGAAAUGCGUAGAUAUCAGGAGGAACACCGGUGGUGUAAACGGCUUUCUGGACCGUAACUGACGCUGAGGCACGAAAGCGUGGGGAGCAAACAGGAUUAGAAACCCCCGUAGUCC
rnacentral:rRNA from 1 species